CCUCCACAUGAAAGGACUGCUCUUACAUCCCACGAAAGACUGGCUUCUGCCAGUCAUAUUACUUCUAAUCAUUUCAAGCAACAUGUUAUACCCAUCAUACCUCCACAUGAAAGGACUGCUCUUACAUCCCACGAAAGACUCCCCAGUUGGAGUGAACAAAACUCGAUCUAGGAAAUGAUAUCCAAUCAAUGAGGACAUCUCAAAGGAACAGAGAUUCAGGAUUAUAUUCAGUAUUAUAUCAUGCUCGCGAUCAGUAUGCUGUCGACCUUGAAGUUACUUAUAACAGCUUGGGAGUCGGUGGAACAAAAAUAAGAACGAGUACGAUUUACGAGAAUUCUCUAGACGGUCUUCACGACAUAUCUUCAUGACCCUGCAGCAGCUACGUAGCCCCACGUGAGGUUAUGCCUGUCAAGUAAUCAAUGUCAUUUAAGCUCGACUCUAUCUUGGCCUUUUUCUUUUGACUUACGGUCGACAAUCAAAAAGGCGUGCCUUGUUUUUCGGAAAAAAUAGUAUGGACAGCGUGCCCUGGUCAGUUAAUUGAGCCUGGCGUCAUCCAACACUCGAGGGCAGCAGAAGGACGAUCCACAGCUCCCCGGCCGAAUUGCACUGGAGCGAGUCGACGAAGUAGCCAGCAUCCUUCUGAACUCAAUUCAAAGUCUUUUCGAUGUCCAACUUUGCUAAUGGCGGGUCCGCGAUUGCUGUCGCUUCAUGAUUAGAAUCAAACUUGUGGUUUCAAGGCGACCGAAAAGAAAUAACACUGGGCGGUGUUAAGCGAUAGAUGUUUUUUUUUUCGUAACAACUUCUGGAGGCCUAUUGCAUUCUUCAAAGCCUUCUUAUGAUUUCUGUCAAAUCAAGAAGGGGGACCAUCGGCAUUCAGCUUUCUACGUUGGAAAUAUGUUCCGCCAGUUUUCUGUUUCUUCCGGCUCUCUACUACGGAUGUUUUUAUUCGAUGCUGGCGGUCAAUUCUUUCAACCCGGAACUUUCGUCGUUUAAUAACUCAACAUUGUCGUGGCGCAUUCACCCCGGGCAAGUUUGGAUGGCCAUUUUCUCGUCAAUGAUGCGUUUUAGAACAUACAAAUCGUGUUGAUAUUUUGCGAUGCUGUGUAGAUGAGUCAAAUGAAUACAUGUGUAUUUACGAA
rnacentral:misc_RNA from 1 species